rnacentral:rRNA from 1 species
UACGAAGGGGGCUAGCGUUGCUCGGAAUCACUGGGCGUAAAGCGCACGUAGGCGGAUUGCUAAGUCAGGGGUGAAAUCCUGGAGCUCAACUCCAGAACUGCCUUUGAUACUGGCGACCUUGAGUCCGGGAGAGGUGAGUGGAACUGCGAGUGUAGAGGUGAAAUUCGUAGAUAUUGGGAAGAACACCAGUGGCGAAGGCGGCUAACUGGUCCGGUACUGACGCUGAGGUGCGAAAGCGUGGGGAGCAAACAGG